GACGUAGGGCGCGAGCGUUGUCCGGAUUUAUUGGGCGUAAAGAGCUCGUAGGCGGCUUGUUGCGUCGACCGUGAAAACCCGGGGCUCAACUUCGGGCUUGCGGUCGAUACGGGCGGGCUAGAGUUCGGUAGGGGAGACUGGAAUUCCUGGUGUAGCGGUGAAAUGCGCAGAUAUCAGGAGGAACACCGGUGGCGAAGGCGGGUCACUGGACAGUAACUGACGCUGAUGCGCGAAAGCUAGGGGAGCAAACAGG
rnacentral:rRNA from 1 species